rnacentral:rRNA from 1 species
AUUGAACGCUGGCGGCAGGCCUAACACAUGCAAGUCGAACGGUAACAGGAAGAAGCUUGCUUCUUUGCUGACGAGUGGCGGACGGGUGAGUAAUGUCUGGGAAACUGCCUGAUGGAGGGGGAUAACUACUGGAAACGGUAGCUAAUACCGCAUAACGUCGCAAGACCAAAGAGGGGGACCUUCGGGCCUCUUGCCAUCGGAUGUGCCCAGAUGGGAUUAGCUAGUAGGUGGGGUAACGGCUCACCUAGGCGACGAUCCCUAGCUGGUCUGAGAGGAUGACCAGCCACACUGGAACUGAGACACGGUCCAGACUCCUACGGGAGGCAGCAGUGGGGAAUAUUGCACAAUGGGCGCAAGCCGGAUGCAGCCAUGCCGCGUGUAUGAAGAAGGCCUUCGGGUUGGAAAGUACUUUCAGCGGGGAGGAAGGGAGUAAAGUUAAUACCUUUGCUCAUUGACGUUACCCGCAGAAGAAGCACCGGCUAACUCCGUG